rnacentral:rRNA from 1 species
UACAGAGGGGGCAAGCGUUGUUCGGAAUUACUGGGCGUAAAGGGCGCGUAGGCGGCCUUCUAAGUCGAACGUGAAAUCCCCGGGCUCAACCCGGGAACUGCGUCCGAUACUGGAAGGCUUGAAUCCGGGAGAGGGAUGCGGAAUUCCAGGUGUAGCGGUGAAAUGCGUAGAUAUCGGGAGGAACACCAGUGGCGAAGGCGGCUUUCUGGCCUGUUCUUGACGCUGAGGCGCGAAAGCCAGGGGAGCAAACGGG